AAGAAGGCCUUCGGGUUGUAAAGCACUUUUAUCAGGAACGAAAAGCGUUGGAUUAAUACUCUGACGUGCUGACGGUACCUGAGGAAUAAGCACCGGCUAACUUCGUGCCAGCAGCCGCGGUAAUACGAAGGGUGCAAGCGUUAAUCGGAAUUACUGGGCGUAAAGCGUGCGUAGAUGGUUCGCUAAGUCGGAUGUGAAAGCCCCGGGCUCAACCUGGGAACUGCAUCCGAUACUGGCGGACUAGAGUGUGAUAGAGGAUGGCGGAAUUCCCGGUGUAGCGGUGAAAUGCGUAGAGAUCGGGAGGAACAUCCGUGGCGAAGGCGGCCAUCUGGAUCAACACUGACGUUGAGGCACGAAAGCGUGGGGAGCAAACAGGAUUAGAUACCCUGGUAGUCCACGCCCUAAACGAUGUCGACUGGAUGUUGGGGUGCAACUUGGCACUCAGUAUCGAAGCUAACGCGUUAAGUCGACCGCCUGGGGAGUACGCGCGCAAGCGUGAAACUCAAAGGAAUUGACGGGGG
rnacentral:rRNA from 1 species